CCCUACGGGGCGCAGCAGUAGGGAAUCUUCCACAAUGGGCGAAAGCCUGAUGCAGCAACGCCGCGUGAAGGAAGACGGUUUUCGGAUUGUAAACUUCUAUCAAUAGGGAAGAAAGAAAUGACGGUACCUAAAUAAGAAGCCCCGGCUAACUACGUGCCAGCAGCCGCGGUAAUACGUAGGGGGCAAGCGUUAUCCGGAAUUACUGGGUGUAAAGGGAGAGUAGGCGGCAAGGUAAGCGAUAUGUGAAAGCCUUAAGCUUAACUUAAGGAUGGCAUAACGAACUAUCUAGCUAGAGUACAGGAGAG
rnacentral:rRNA from 1 species